CUCACACGCAGACAUUCGGCUCUGUUUCUGAUGGAAGCAGCUUGGCUAGGAAGACACAAACAGAUGUAAACACAAAGCCACAUCAUUUUUCCAAGGAUGAAGAUGUAGCUCCUUCUCCACUUUCAGCUCCUUCUCCAGCACCAUGUCUGCCUGCAUGUCACCAUGUCUUGCCAUGAUGAUAAUGGACUGAACAUCUGAAACUGAUAUGAAGACUGAACAAGAUGAAGGAGUUUUGAUACGGAGUGGUUAGGAGGACUGAAGUACUGCAAACGGGAAGCAAAACUGCAAGCAGGAAGUUUGAGAAGGCUGACACCUCUGUUAUCCCUAGUGAGCCGUAGCUGACAGUGACCCCGUGGAAGAGACGAACGCAGACACUAGUCUGUCCUCACAGGUCUG